rnacentral:rRNA from 1 species
ACCAGACUCCUACGGGAGGCAGCGGUGGGGGAUAUUGCACAAUGGGGGGAACCCUGAUGCAGCGACGCCGCGUGGGUGAAGAAGCGCCUCGGCGCGUAAAGCCCUGUCAGCAGGGAAGAAAAUGACGGGACCUGAAGAAGAAGCCCCGGCUAACUACGUGCCAGCAGCCGCGGUAAUACGUAGGGGGCAAGCGUUAUCCGGAGUUACUGGGCGUAAAGGGGGCGCAGACGGCGAUGCAAGCCAGGAGUGAAAGCCCCGGGCGCAGCCCCGGGACUGCUCUUGGAACUGCGUGGCUGGAGUGCAGUAGGGGCAGGCGGAAUUCCUGGUGUAGCGGUGAAAUGCGUAGAUAUUAGGAGGAACACCGGCGGCGAAGGCGGCCUGCUGGACCGUAACUGACGUUGAGGCUCGAAAGCGUGGGGAGCAAACAGGAUUAGCUACCCCCGUAAAC